AAGUCCCUACGGGGCGCAGCAGUAGGGAAUUUUCGUCAAUGGGCGCAAGCCUGAACGAGCAAUGCCGCGCGAACGAGGAAGGUCUUCGGAUCGUAAAGUUCUGUUGAAGGGGAAAAAGAGCGGAGAGAGGAAAUGGUCUCCGAUUGAUAUUACCCUUCGAGGAAGUCACGGCUAACUACGUGCCAGCAGCCGCGGUAAUACGUAGGUGGCGAGCGUGAUCCGGAAUGAUUGGGCGUAAAGGGUGCGUAGGCGGCCUGCUAAGGCUGGAGUGAAAGGUACCGGCUCAACCGGUACAGGCGCUGGAA
rnacentral:rRNA from 1 species